ACAGCUGGCGGCGUGCUUAACACAUGCAAGUCGAGCGGUAAGGCUCCUUCGGGAGUACACGAGCGGCGAACGGGUGAGUAACACGUGAGCAAUCUGCCCUUCACACUGGGAUACCCCCCGGAAACGGGAGCUAAUACCGGAUACGACCACUUCGGGCAUCCGAUGGUGGUGGAAAGUUCUGGCGGUGAAGGAUGAGCUCGCGGCCUAUCAGCUUGUUGGUGAGGUAAUGGCUCACCAAGGCUUCGACGGGUAGCCGGCCUGAGAGGGUGACCGGCCACACUGGGACUGAGACACGGCCCAGACUCCUACGGGAGGCAGCAGUGGGGAAUAUUGGACAAUGGGCGAAAGCCUGAUCCAGCAACGCCGCGUGAGGGAUGACGGCCUUCGGGUUGUAAACCUCUUUCAGCAGGGACGAAGCGAAAGUGACGGUACCUGCAGAAGAAGCACCGGCCAACUACGUGCCAGCAGCCGCGGUAAUACGUAGGGUGCGAGCGUUGUCCGGAAUUAUUGGGCGUAAAGGGCUCGUAGGCGGUCUGUUGCGUCGGGAGUGAAAACUCAGGGCUUAACCCUGAGCCUGCUUCCGAUACGGGCAGACUAGAGGUAUGCAGGGGAGAACGGAAUUCCUGGUGUAGCGGUGAAAUGCGCAGAUAUCAGGAGGAACACCGGUGGCGAAGGCGGUUCUCUGGGCAUUACCUGACGCUGAGGAGCGAAAGUGUGGGGAGCGAACAGGAUUAGAUACCCUGGUAGUCCACACCGUAAACGUUGGGCGCUAGGUGUGGGACUCAUUCCACGAGUUCCGUGCCGCAACUAACGCAUUAAGCGCCCCGCCUGGGGAGUAC
rnacentral:rRNA from 1 species